UGAAAUGGAGUUGCAUAAUUCUUGAUGUUGGAUUUCACUCAAAACCAACCAAAUGACUCCUCUCAUCAUAUUACGUUAUUUCCCAAGUUUUGGACUCAAUCCGAUAUCGAUUGGUCCCUGAAAUUGGACAAUUCAGGUUCGUACGAAGUUCAUUUUGAAAUAGAGUGGUCAGUGUAUUGCAUAGUUCUAGAGAUUGGAUUUCAC
rnacentral:lncRNA from 1 species